rnacentral:rRNA from 1 species
CGCAACCCUUAUCCUUUGUUGCCAGCGGUCCGGCCGGGAACUCAAAGGAGACUGCCAGUGAUAAACUGGAGGAAGGUGGGGAUGACGUCAAGUCAUCAUGGCCCUUACGACCAGGGCUACACACGUGCUACAAUGGCGCAUACAAAGAGAAGCGACCUCGCGAGAGCAAGCGGAUCUCAUAAAGUGCGUCGUAGUCCGGAUUGGAGUCUGCAACUCGACUCCAUGAAGUCGGAAUCGCUAGUAAUCGUGGAUCAGAAUGCCACGGUGAAUACGUUCCCGGGCCUUGUACACACCGCCCGUCACACCAUGGGAGUGGGUUGCAAAAGAAGUAGGUAGCUUAACCUUCGGGAGGGCGCUUACCACUUUGUGAUUCAUGACUGGGGUGAAGUCGUAACAAGGUAACCGUAGGGGAACCUGCGGUUGGAUCACCUCCUUA